ACCUCCCGGGGUUGGCCGGCCCCUUCUGCCGCGGAUAACGCCGGGGUCUCCGGGACCCGAGAGCCCCGGCGAUUGCCCGCCUGACGGCGCGUCCGGCCGGCGUCAGGAGUGACGCGGCCGCGGCCCCGGCGGACGGUCCCCGCGAACGGUUGCCCGCCCGCACGGAGGGCGCUGCGGCCCGCCCGGCCAGACCGGCCUCGAUCCUCAGAGCCAAUCCUUGUCCCGAAGUUACGGAUCGAGUUUGCCGAGUUCCCUUACCUACAUUGUUCCACGUGACCAGAGGCUGUUCACCUAGGAGACCUGCUGCGGAUACUCGGUACGAACCGGCUUCGGAAACCACCGAACCAGGAGCCUCAGCCGGGAUUUUCACGGUCCGAGGGAGGAGACCCGUACACCGCCGACGACCGCGUGCUCCUCGCGACCCACCGCCCCUAUCUCCGCGCCAUACGCGUUCCAGGGAUGCUCGGUCGCUUCAACAGAAAAGACAACUCUCCACGGGUCCUCCGCCGGCUUCUCCGGCUGGUUGUCGAAUCGCUCCGACGAGUCGUACGGACCUGGCAGGUGAACGUUUCCUACUCGCGGGUCCGGGAAUCUUGACCGGGUUCCCUUUCGCCGUGCCGGACCGUGUACGAUCUUUACGAUCCCCUGGCGAUGGAGGGCGGGCGCGUCCACGGCGACCCACUCGGCCGAGUCGCGCGAAACGGCGAACCGCUCGGUGCGCGCGCUGCGGGGCUCUGGUCUGAGCGCCGAGGAGCGCGAGGCGAGCGAGGCUAAACCGCGUUUGGCAAGUACGGAGCCCCGAUCCGACACCGGUGGCCGCCUCCACGCUCUCCCGUUGAGUCCCCGCGCCCAGCGCGGUCCGGGGUCCCGGUCGGCGGAGUCCGCCCCGGCUAAGUGCUUCGCUCGAGAGCUAGCGCGUCGCUCCGGGGCCGCCCCGUGCGAGCUCCGAGGGAGCCGCACAUGUUACGGGUGAAAACGCCGCUCGGGAGUUGCGGCGCCGGGUUUGGGGUACGGACUCCGCGCGAGGCGGGUCGGAGCCGCGCCGAAGGGGCGCGGGCGGGGAGCGUCUGAGUCGGAAGCGACCUCGGCGAAGGGCGGGGGAACCGCCGACGGGCCUCGCCCGAUGCUUGCCCCCGCGCCUCGGGAACCCCGGAGGGGCUCCCGAGCGGCGCAGAGGGGCCGAGCCCCGGGUCGCGAACCGCCUCUCCUCCGCGAAAGCGGGGGGGAUCAUCGUGGGGUCCGCGUUGUAGGGCCUUCGCCCGUGGCUUAGGAUCGACUAACACUUGUGCAACGGCUUUGUUGACAAGAAAACCCUUCUCCGCGUCAGUCCUCCAGGACCUCUCCAGAGUAUUUGCUACUACCACCAAGAUCUGCGCCGGACGGCGCCUGGGAUCCGGGCGGGCUCGCGCCCUGAACCCUUCUGCGCUCACCGCCGCGCCCUCCUACUCGUCAGGGUCUACCCGAGGCGCUUCCCGCCGCGGGGCCGCUCCUUCGGCCGUUUGACCGGGCGCGGGGGAGCGGCUCGAGCGGCGGGCGACCCCGUUGCCCGUGCUCCACGCUGACGGCCGGGUAUCGGCACGCUAAUCAUAGCGCCACAGAAAUUUUCGGAACACCACCGGCAUCGGCAGGUGAGUCGUUACACACUCAUUAGCGGAUGCCAACUUCCAUGGCCACAGUCCUGCUGUCGCACGUCGGGUCCGACCAUUUGAACGGGUGUCUGUCAUCUUCGGUCGUAGCGAUUUAGGCGCCUUAACCCGGCGUUCGGUUCACCCGCAUCGUCAGUCUGCUUACCNGGUCCUCAAUGUCCUCGUCACCUUUCCAGUACAUUGAGGAAACCACUAAUUCGUAGCGUCAGGGCAGGUAACCACCGCGGUUUGUU
rnacentral:lncRNA from 1 species